UUUGGGUGUAACCUGAAAUCAUUGUAUUUUUAUUUUUGUUUAUUUUAAUUUUAAAAUGUGCAAUUCAUACUGUUAAAAAUGUUUAAAUAAUUUUUCCAUGUUUUAAAAUUUGUAUUAGUUAAAAUGUAUUUACCUUGAAGUAUGAGCCAAACAGAAGUCAGGGUGAGAGGUCAGGAGAAGAAGAGAGAGUCACACAGGCGUGAGAGCUCGCACUGGAGUCUUGCUAGUAAAGUUAGCUUAUGUUAGAAAACCAAUGCAGUGAAGUGAUAUUGUGUGUAUGUAUGUAAGUAAGUAGACAAACGGACAGUGAAUCUUAUUACUACAUUAUACAGUGAUAUUUCGACAGUCUAUAUAUAUUAUAUUAUGAUGUGUUUACUACGGAAACUCGGACAGACUUUUAGAAGAUUCAAGGUGGAUACAGCGACAGCUAGUCAAAUCGACGUUCGCUUUGUGCCGUGGAAGUGAGUUCCGGAACUUUUAGUGAGAAUAGCCAUAUGUGGCCAUCCCGCCCACUCAUUUGAGCAUCGUUCCCGGAUCGUCAGUGACCCGACACAACUGUGGACUGUCGCGACGACGUCUCCACUCCAGCAUUACCAACACUAUGUGUGCCAUCACCACAGUGAGGAGGAGGAGGAGGACGCCGCCGCACGAAAUCAAUGGCGGGAGAAAGGUUUUCUGUCGGGAGAGGAGAGGAGACAGCCGAGUCUGAGAAACACACUCUUCUUCUGGCAGCAUUUGGCUGCGGCAGGCCUGUGAGGCCCGCUGGCUCUGAAGUGGUUUGGACAGUGUGCUGAGGAGACCAACACCUCCUCCUCCACCACCACCUCCUCCUUCACCACAUGCCUCAGCCGUUUACUCAUCUGUUCAUUGACUAAUGGAGGGGCGGGUCAGAGGUCAACUCCUGCACAGACAAACAAAUAUGCUCUUCUCCUGGCUCUCUUCCCUAGCGGGGAUAACUAAUUACCAUCAAUGGCCUUGAUUGAUAGUCAUUACUUUGAUUGGAAAUCAGUAACCGCCAUCAGUGCAGUUAUUGUUGAUGAAAAGGCUGGCUGUUUUAAUGCAU